AAGAAAGCAACCUUUGCAUCCACGGAAAUAGAAGCUUUAGGGUACUCUCCAGAUGAAGCCAUUCUUCAAAAGUUCUGGAAGCUUUGUGAACGCCAACUACAUAUUUCAGAUGAGGCUGAAGAAGAAGAUUCUAAUAGGGAAUACAUUGAGGAGACAAAUCGAGAUGCUGUAAUCAUUGCUGUUGGGAAGUUGGUUGCUGUUGAUGCAGUUCCUAAGGAAUAUCUUGCUCCAGAGAUACUAUCUCAUCUUUCAAUGCAUGGGACAAGUGUAUCUGAGGUUAUUAAGCAUUUGCUAACCGUGUUAAGGAAUAAUGGUGCAGAUGUUGCAUGGUUGUUCAUAGAGGCACUAAAAAGGGCCCAUGAACGGUACUUAGUAGCACUUUUCUCUGAUGAUGACGAAUCAGCGAGAAAGACUUUUCAUGAAUGUGAAGAUCUCGCCAGUGGGCUUGCCAAGACAUUUGGAAAUGCUGCUAGAAACAAGCACCGGUCAGAUCUUCUAAAUAUUGUCACAGGAGGCAUUCAAUAUGCCUUUACUGAUGCUCCAAAGCAUUUAUCUUUCUUGGAUGGUGCUGUGCUGCAUUUCAUAUCUAAACUUCCUCCUUCAGAUAUUAUGAACAUCUUGAAAGACGUCGAGAAAAGAACUGAAAAUGUUAACACGGAUGAAGAUCCAAGCGGUUGGCGACCCUACCAUAUAUUUGUAGAUACAGUCCAUGAGAAGUAUGCUAAGGGUGAUGUCUUACAAGAUGAUAAGGAAGGAGCUGGGAGACGUCGAGGUCGUCCUACCAAGAAGCAGAACAUACAAGGAAAGAAACUUUUUGACGAGCACAAUUCUAGUGAAGACGAGGAAUCAAUCAGUGGAUCUGACCAAGAGGCAGAUGAAGAAAAACAAGAUGAUGAAGAGGUUCCUCUAAUACAUUCUUUCAAGUCAUCAUCCAAGCUAAGGUCUCUGAAGAUAUCAAGAGAGAGCUGAAGCUAUGUGAGAACUGGUCAUUUUGGUCUCUGUUUAGAGUUUUCCUGUUCCAAAGCAUCAGGUUCUCAAGUCUUAAAAAUCUGCUCUCUAUAUCACGAGCAAACAGGUUCCUCAAGAACCAUAGUUUGAGAGGAAAACUUUGUUGAAGUAGACCUUAGGUGCAGCCUUGUGUAUUUAAAAUAGGUCUCGUCUCCAGUCUUUUUUUUUUUUUUCCUUUCCAAACUAGCUGUAUUUGUGAUUUCUUUUUGGCAGCUUCAACCCAUUUAUGGAUUUGGUAAGCUAUUACUUGUCGUGAUUAUCUUGUGAUUGUGUAACCUUUGGGCUCCUAAUGGCUAGUAAGUUCUGAAUUGCCAAAAUGGAAGUACUAGGAAGAGAUAUACUGAAGAUGGAGACAAAAUUCAAGUAGGA
rnacentral:misc_RNA from 1 species